rnacentral:lncRNA from 1 species
AUUCCAAAGAGGACCUUCAGUGGGCAGAGUAGGUGGGCGAGGCUUCUGCUGCUGAAGGUCGCGGAGCCCUUCCGUUUGCCUCUCUCCCGGAUGCUUCUCCUCCUGUUUGCGCUUGCGGAAGGGGUGAAGGUGGGAGGACCACCACGCUGUUGAAGGUUAUGUCUGAGUGUGUGAGCAUCCAGAAUUCCUGUGGGCUUCUAGGGCACAUUUGCUUAGAGCUCCUAGUUUGGUUAGUUAGGUGGUGAUCUUUAACGAGUUAGAAGACAACCUACCUUCAAAGCAAAUGUUUCUGCCAAUGAGGAGUCAGGAAGCGACCACAAGUUCUGCUCUUGAAGAGAAGGCUAGGAUGGGCCUCAGUGAUAAAAGGUGCCGUGGAAAACAAAGUGUAAUCAAAAGAUGAAAGCUGAAACAGAAAAAUUAAAAGAAGAAAUAAAAGAAAAGUCAACACCCUUUUGUGUGAAAUGUGGGAUAGUUAAACCAUAUCGCAUUCUUAUCCUCGUCUGCACUUUCAGUGGUUCUGCCCUUCUGUGGUGGGCCUUCAGCCUCUCCACCUGGGUGAGGAUAGAAAUCCCAAGUGGCUCCCAAGUCCUUUUCAGCGCUCUUUUUGCAAUAUGCAGUGGUGAGAUCAAGUGUUGGAUUCCACUAUCAAAAUCAACUUUAUACUCCUGGUCUUACCUCAUUCCCUUCCUGAUACCCGGAAACAGUACUUUGUCUUCACAAUCGUCUUCUUCGUCAUAGGUAUCUGUGUGUUCCUUGCAUUACUGCUGCACUCUCUGCAUGUUUUGAAAGUAACCAACUUAUGCAAGGAUGCGAAAAUCACCUUUCUCUACCCUACUUUCAUCCUUUCAUUCAGCGCCAUACUAUUUUUCUUAUCUGGAAUCCUCUGCUUAUUCAGCUCCCAUCAUUGUUGGCUUCAGUGCGUCUUACAGCAACCAAUCCAAGUGAAACCUAUGCAAAUGUCAGUGGUCAGUGGGAACUCAGCAAUGGUCACAGAAAGGACACCGGGUAGAGAUGGCUAGCCUAACCUCAGUGGUGGUGAGAAAGCUGAUUUUAGAAGAAACAUGUCUCACCUGUAAUUCAAGAUUUCACAGCUAUACACACACUCAUUUAAUUACUGCAUAAGACUGGAAAGAGUUGGCUGGUUACUAAUCAUUGUUCAAGAUAUGGCUUAGGAUUCCGGGGACUUAGAUAUUCAUAAGAGAGAAAACACAGUUGGGGUGUGGGGAAGUUGAGUGUUUGGCUCUUGGGGACUUGAAAUGAAAAAAACUUCUCUUCACCUUGAAGAUUCUUCUCUUGGCACCCAUUUCCCAACCCUCUUGCUGGUAUGCCUGGUCUCCUGGCAGUGGUUUUUUUUAGCAGUAACAAAACUCUCUCUCCACUAUAAAGCCUGAGUUUGAUAAAAACAAAUUUUUUUUCUGCUCUCUGGGAAUUUCAUGAGUGGAAUCUUUUCACUACUGUGUUAUUCGGGACUCUUUUUUUUUUUUUUUUUUUGCAUGUAACAAACCUUAUCCAAACUACCUUCAACAAAAAUUGAAUUUAUUGGAUGCAGGGGUUACCUCAUAGACUCAAAAAAGUUCUGGUAGAAUCAGGGCUACAUGAGAGAGUUGGGGAGCUGGAAUCUUGAGAUCAUUUCCUCAGGAUACUAUUUUUUUAAACUAUCCACUGAAGGUUAAUGGAAUUUCUCAAUCCUUAAAAUGGAAGCACUAUCCUAAAUUCCUCUUGCUCAUCACUUUCAAUGAAUCACCAAAGCUUGUCCUUUCCACCUCAACAAGACUUCCGUUCCCCUCCCUGAGCCCUCCUCACUGGUCAUCGUGACCAGGUCUUUGUCAUCCCUGCCCAGACUGUGUCGUCUCUGAAUGUGGCUUGUCCCCCACUGUGGCCUACCUCUGCGAAGCUGCCCAGCUCGAGCUUCCUAAAAUACAGAGAUGAGAAUGUGCUCCUUAAAAGCCUAUUUUGCCUUCUUCUGGCCUUCAGGAUAAAUUCCUUAUCUUGAUAAAUAAAGUUAUUUACAAGUUGGCAU